UAAGGAAUAUUGCUCAAUGGGAGAAAUCCUGAAGCAGCAACGCCGCGUGGAGGAUGAAGGGUCUAUGACUUGUAAACUCCUGUAAAGAAGGAAAAAAUUCCCAUUUGAUGGGAGAUGAUGGUACUUCUGGAGUAAGCCCCGGCUAACUACGUGCCAGCAGCCGCGGUAAUACGUAGGGGGCAAGCGUUGUCCGGAUUUACUGGGUGUAAAGGGUGCUCAGGCGGAUUUGUAAGUCAGAGGUGAAAUCUUACAGCUUAACUGUGAAACUGCCUUUGAUACUGCAAGCCUAGAGUAUGGAAGAGAGUGAUGGAAUAUCUGGUGUAGCAGUGAAAUGCGUAGAUAUCAGAUAGAACACCAAUGGCGAAGGCAGUCACUUGGUCCAUUACUGACGCUAGAGCACGAAAGCGUGGGGAGCAAACA
rnacentral:rRNA from 1 species